rnacentral:lncRNA from 1 species
UGACUUUCUAAGUGGCCAUCAGCUUCUCGGAAUGGUUCUCGGCUACGUAAGAAUAAGUUUAAAGAAACUUCUCCAGUAAGCCUGUUCACAGACCUGUCUCCACCUCUGCCCCCAGUCUCCAGUGGGACACGUCUACACCCCUGCCUCUGCGUUUAGAGGCGUCCUUAUUCUCAGUACGGAAUGAACACUUUUCCAACAUGGCGCAUCCCAUUGAAAAACGCAACCUAGGCGCGGCCAUGUUCCCCGCCUAGCAACACUUCUGUAGGCAUCCAAAGCCCCAAAUCAUCAACUCCAUAACAGCUCCUAGUUGUCCGCUGAGAAGCCGCGAAGGUGACUUGCGCGUGCGCAGGACACUUUUGGCCCACCGAAGUGAAGCCCCUAAACACAAGGAGGGGCGGUGCUAGGGUGGUGACCGGAAGCGGCUCAGCGGCGGUUUGAUAGUUGUCAAGCUGAUUGAACUCGAUGCUGGAAGGAUGUGGAGGUGAUGGGCGACUAGGGAGGACACCUUUAAUGACAUCAGACAUUCUGUUCUCCAAAAGGAGUUCCCCUGGCAUUCUUGAUGAACUCCCAGGUAGAGGAGGAAAAUUUGAAGCUAGUAAGUCAAACUUUGGUGUUGGCGACUUUGCAUCAGCUAAAGGAUGGGGUCUUGGGAUUCUUUCAUCUUCUCGUCGUCUUCGACCUCUGAAAAGAGCUCUCCUGCCUCUACCAUAGUCCCCAUUUUGUUCCAGCUGUAAAGCGGAAGUCUCCUUUGGAAGAUUUCUUGGAGUGUCUGCAGAAUCCCUGGGCUGCACCCCUUAGUGAAAGCUGCAGGAUCUUCUGUCUGACCCCAGCAGCUCCAGUUGAAUACACAGACCCCACCAGAUCUGGGAACCUGGGAAGAACAAGUCAGCAGGAAAGCACUAGAUUUGAGAUCAAGUGUGAAUAUGGCAGCCAGUAGGAACUCUGUCCAGCCAGAGGGAUGUGGCAACACCUGUGAGGUAAGGAGGAAGCGAUCUAUUGGCUCAGGAAUUCAUCCAGAACUUCAGAGCCUGAAAAAGGAAGGAUACUACUGUGUCUUGUUUUCAUUUACAAGAUUUUUUGCAUGAUCAUAU